rnacentral:lncRNA from 1 species
CCCUGCCUCGCUCCUCCGCCUUGCGUCAUGCCCACCUGAAAUAUUUUUAAUAUAAAAUAAUUUGAGAAAAAUACUUUUAAGAAGUCAACUUAAUGUUUUUCAAAAAUAUUAUGAAAAUUUUUAUUCAACAAAGAUAUUAAGAACUUUGACACUUAAUUUUUAAUUUCAAUCAAAUGUUUUUCACGCAACUAAUUAAUAUUAUUAAAUUAUUGAUUGAAAAUAUUGAUCAACUAUAAAAAAGUUAUUUUAAAGUAAAUAAAAAUGUCUGUGUCCCUUGAGAAAAAAUUGAAAAUAAGAUAAACUUAGCCAUAUUGAUUAGUUAAGUGGAAAAGCAUUUGAUUGAAAUUAUUAGGUGAGUAAAUUAACGUAAAAAAUGGUAUCUUUAGGAGAAUUUAAUUAAAUUCAAGUUAAAGUUAGAUUAUGCAAAUAAUUACUAUUAAAACAAUAAAUACAAAAAAAGUAAAUAACUUUUUUUGGGCUGUACCUAAGGGUUUGGGCCAGCUGUAUUAAGGUUUUGGGUCUAAUGCUGCACUUUGGGCUUUGGCCCAUGUCACUGUAUAGCUGUGUAUAUACUAGUGUAUAUCAUCUACUUCCCCUGUAUAUUGGACAUAUACAGCCCAUUUUACACCUGUAUCUUAUGUCGUCUAUAUAUCAACUCCAUUUCUUGCAUACUUGCUUCCCUUUCACUCGAACAAGAUGAGGUUGACUCGAUGAAUAUCAGUUGGGUUUCAACCAACUCGAAAUUCAAAGAUGACUAGAUGACUCCCAAUGCAGGUGUCACAUACAAAGAGAAUAAAAUCACAUCAGGAAUGUGAUUUUAAAACUAAAGCAUAUUGUGUAAACUAUGUGCCAAAAGUAUCAUACUAAUUCAAAGCAAUCUAAACAGCGAGAUGUUAACUUCAUUCAACAAUAUUAAGAUGUAUAAUCAAAUUUUCAUUGUUUCUCAAGACCUAACAAUCAAUAGGAAUAUCAUGGUGAAAUAUUCAUACUAAUAUUUUUGAAGGGGCGUGUAAAGUUCAAAGUGGAGACAUCUGAAUAAAUUAUAAGAAAACAAUAACAGUAACUACUAUCACAGGAAUCGGUCCCAGACGCGCCCCAUUGAUAGGCAUUACACCAUGUAAACUGGUGGCACAAAUAGCAAACCAAUGGAUUCAUUGAAGUGAAGAAAUCAAGAAAACGGAGAAGAAGCAGUAGAAUCAAUAUUGCUUGGGCGACUAGGAAUUGAAGAAGUGUUACAAGGGUAAAAUAAAAUUCUGGGAUUGGUAUCUGAAAAUUGCAGUUGUUUCGGCCAUGAUUGGAGGUUCCAUGGAGUUUCUCAUGAUUAAGACUGGAUUUUAUGAUAAAGUGACUGUUCUAGAAGCGGAAAAGAGAGCCUGGGAGAAUUCUCCUGAAGCCAAGGCUGUCAGAGACGCUCUUAAUCUAUGGAGACAUCAGGAUGCAGAAACAUGAAAGGAUUCUUAGCUCUGUCACUUCAGUUAGAGAAUUAUAAGGCAACUCAGGGAUUGGCUUUGAAGGAAAAUUGACCUGACGUAGUGCUUUUUUGGGCUUGCUCCUAUUGAUAUUUCUCAUCGAAUGUUUAUUGAAGAGCGUGUUGCAACUUACAACUGAUUGUUUCAUCAACUUGGUGGUCACUUCCUUGCUCUUUCAAGAUUAGUACUUUGCUUUCCUGGAUCUGCAUGGUUAAGAGAAACAAUCAGUUGCACCUCUGGGAAAAAUAGUGGACUAGAUAGCCAUUUGAGAGAAAAAAAACUACUAUCACAGAGAGGAAAUGUUGGCAUUGAUAGCCUCUUUGGUUAUUACAAGAAUACAUGCUCAGAUAGGAAUUGGUACAAAUCCAGAAUGAAGAAAAGAUAAAUGGAAAAGGAAAAUUGAAGCCAACAGAAAAUAACAAUCAAUAAAUACCUGAAAAUUGCUUUGAGAAGAACAAAGAUGAGGUAUUUCUUGAAAAACUUAUUUGAAAAGAUAGAGAAUGAAGACAUAGACAGAGAUGAGCAAACAAAGAUGACUAAAUUAAUCAAUAUCCGAAAAAGGUCUAGCACAGACAAGAUUUAAUCAAUCACAAAUAGAGGACGAAUCAGUAGAUAAAAUGAUUAUAAAUAGAAACACUAAGAUGAAGAAAAUGAAUGCAACAUUGAUAUGAUACAGACAAAAUGAAUGCAACAUUGAUAUGAUACAGAGGUGAAUAACAAGAAUAACUCAAACACAUAGCAAUCAUUUAAGCAUAUCCACUACUCCAAUAUUUAGUAAAAUCCGAAAUAUAUGGCAACCAAAGUCUCCCUAACAGAUUGGUCAAAAGGAAAUUGAUAAAGUAAAAUAGUCGGGGUAAUGAAAUGGUAGUAAUGCUAGAGGUUUUCUUUUAGCUAGAUGGGAGGAGCGGAGAAAGGGAGGAUGGCAUUAAAGGUCGAAAGAAAACUUGCCCGAGAAUAUUUCAAGGAGCUAAGUGUACAUUACCAUCAUAUUCCUUGCGUAACAGGACCUCAGGAAUGUAAGCAGGUGUUCCUACAGCUGACUUGGGUUGUGAAUGCAAUAAUCCUGACUGCAUUAUGAAGAAAAUAGUAAAUAAAAAAUGUAAUAUCCUACUACAUAGAUGUAGAUAACUUUCCAAUUAGAACGCAAGAAACCUUAGAAUAACCGAAAUCAAUAUUUUAUGACGUGAUGUUGGGCUUCCAUCAAGUUCAAAGUGGACAAGUAAAGUGAACGGAGAGAAUAAAAGAGUAAGUUGGACUAAUUGUUAAGAUGAAUGCAACAUUGGUAUGAGACAGAGGUGAAAUAAACAAGAAUAAUUCAAACACACAGCAAUCAAUUACCAACAGAGAGCUUUUGUGGAGCUUGAAUCUCUACUAUGCACCUAACAUUAAUCUAUACUAACACUAAAUCUUAAAGAAAUGGCAGCAAAGGAGCAAUAUGUUUGAAGCAAGAAUCCUAGUAGCAAGAACAUACUUCUAUCUGUUAAGGAUUCUCAAGCCAAAGAUUUCAUUGAUAAACAAAAGACUCAAUCUAUUAUAUGUUAAAUGAGGGACUCAAACAGUGAUUAAAACACUCAAACGAAGUAAGACAGAUCAGCAUAUUGCGAUGAAGAUCCACAAACGAGUAAACCAAAAUACAUAGCAGAUUCAUAUGAUACUUAGACAAACAGUGAACUAAGACUGGAAAUCAAAGCAAAGAAACAACAAGACAUUGAGCAUCUAGAAAGAAAAUUCAAAAGAUGAUCCUAAUUCAUACUACAUUAAGCAACAUAUAGAGAUAGUAAUAUUUCUUAAACUGCUAUUAAAAAUAAAUAACAGCUAUUUGCCAAACUUAAACCAGAAACAGAUGUACCGCUAUUUAACUAAACAGAGAAUUAACUGGAAAAAGAUGAAGCAUUAAAGGAGAAAAAGGUUACCUUUUUCUGGGCAGCAAUUGGGACGAGACGAAGUUUCCACCACUGAAAUGGUGGCUGGACUCCCACGAACAAAGAAGCUUGAUACAGCCGAAGAAGAAAACGCUUCCAUUAGCUAUAUGAAAACCCCUCUGUUUUAGAUGAUUAAGAUUUUGUGUUUUUUUAUGGUCAAAUCCGUGAAGGAAGGGGGUUUACAGGGAGAAAAUUGGUGGAUUUUGUGGGGGAAACCUGCAGAAACUUAGAAAAGGGAGGUGUUCAAAUGUCUGUCAAUCUAUAUAAACACAUAGCAAUCAUAUGCACUUAAAAUUAAUCUAUACAAACACAUAUCAAUCAUAUGCACUCAAUGUUAAUCUAUACUAACACUAAAACUUAAAGAAAUGGAAGCGAAGGAGCAACAUGUUUGAAGCAAAAAUCAUAGUAGCAAGAACAUAGUUUAUCUGUAAAGGAUUCUGAAGCCAAAGAUUCCAUCGAUAAACAAAAGAUUCAAUCCAUUAUUUGCUUAAACGACUCAAAGAAAGACAGAUCAGCCUAUGCAAUGAAGAUCGACAAACGAGUAAACCAAAAUACAUAGCAGAUUCAUGAUAUACUUAGACAAACAGUGAACUAAGACUGCAAAUCAAAACACUGAUAUAAUAAUGGGAAAAUAAACAACAAAGACAUUAAGCAUCUGGAAAGAAAAUUCAAAAGAUGAUCCUAAUUCAUACCACAUUAAACAGUAGAGACAGUAAUAUUUCUUAAACUCACUACUAAAAAUAAACAACAACUAUUUGCCAAACUUAAACAAGAAACAGAGAAUUAAUUGGAAAAAAAAAUGAAGCAAGAAAGGAGAAAAGGGUUACCUUUUUCAAGACAGCAACGAAGAUCUCACCACUGAAACGGUCGCUGGACUCUGACGAACAAAGAAGCCUGAUGCAGCAGAAGAAGAAAACGUUUUCCUAUAAAAAAUCCUAAAAUCUGAGCUGCUAUAUUAGCUAUCUGAAAACCCUCGCUCUGUUUUAGAUGAUGAAGAAUUUAUGUGUUCAAAAAAGGGGAUUUGUAGGGAGAAAAUGGGUGGAUGUUGGGGGGAAAACAACGGUCGGAAAUUUUUGUAAGAGACGAGUUCAAAUUUUGAAAAUUCCUUGGAGGAUAAGGAUCCUAACAAAUUUGAGUCGAAAACUGAAAGAAGGACGUUGGGAUUCCUUCUUGAAGGUGUGAUCA